AUGCAGCCUGCGCAGGGUUGUGCAUCCCCCCAACACCCUGCGCAGGGUUGUGCAUCCCCCCCACAGCCUGCACAGGGUUGUGCAUCACCCCCUACAGCCUGUGCAGGGUUGUGCAUCACCCUACAGUCUGCGCAGGGUUGUGCAUCCCCCCCACAGCCUGCACAGGGUUGUGCAUCCCCCCCACAGCCUGUGCGGGGUUGUGCAUCACCCUACAGUCUGCGCAGGGUUGUGCAUCCCCCCACACCCUGUGCAGGGUUGUGCAUCCCCCCCACAGCCUGUGCAGGGUUGUGCAUCCCCCCACACCCUGUGCAGGGUUGUGCAUCCCCCCCACAGCCUGUGCAGGGUUGUGCAUCCCCCCACACCCUGUGCAGGGUCCCCAGUGCCGCUCGCGGCGCCGCCUGUUCCCGUCGCCCCGGCACGUGGCGCCUCGUGCAGCCUGGUCCCGUCGCUGCUCACCGCCACCGGCACGUGCCGGCGUCUCGCAGGCAGCCGCAGGGACACCGCCGCCGCCGCCUCAUCCCCGGCAGCCGCCCGGCCUCCGCGGCCCAGCACCGCCGAGCCCGGCCCCGCACUGCUCCCGGCUGCUUCCGAGCGGGAGAGCGGUGCCGCCAGGCCGCGCGGGACCCACGGGGGCUCUCGCUCCCUUCGCUCUCCGGAGGGACGUUUGCAAGCGCCGCGGGGCGACGGGAGGAAGCGGCUCCGGCCGCCACCAUCAACAUUCCCCGCGCGCCGCAGGGCUGGAACGCUGACGUCCGACCGCGGCACGGUAUUCGGCUUAUCGCAGGCGGGACGAGCGUUUUAAACGCUGCAGCGACCCGGAGCAAUUGCAGCAACUCUCGCAAAAAACUCGUCCCCGUCCCCUCUUCCUGCUUCCUCCCAAUGCCGGCGCGGGAACGCAAAGCGGCCGGCGACGGAGAGGAGAGGAACCGUGCUGCCGCAAGCCGGCACGCGCCGCUGCGCCCCAAACCCUUUCCGAGCGGGAAGCUCGUGCCGGAAGCGCGGCUUCCCGCCCUCUCCGAACCAGCCCAGCGCCCUUUGGGAAACUCCCGCUACGUUGUUUUGAGCCGUUAUUACCUGCAGCUCUGCAAAUUAACCUUGCGAGCGAGGAGGGGCGAGUCGAAAGCCGGCGGGCCGCACGCCGAGGGCGUUUGCUCGCGGGAGCCCGGGCAGGCCGCCGGGGGAGGCGUUAUCCUGCUCCGGGCGUCCCCUCGGCAGAGCAGCCUCCGCGGGGCCCGGUGCCGUGGGAGCUGA
rnacentral:lncRNA from 1 species